AUCUUGCUGGAGAUCCCUACAUGUUGUAGGCCUUCUGAAGGCAACAUCUGACUGAAGAAAAUCAGCGCAGUGACAGCCCACACAAUGCACUCACCCACUCACUGCAUAAGAGAAGCUUGCUUGGGGGCUUUCAAAACAUGCAAGAGAAAGCUAAGAGACUUGAGAAAUAAUUUGAAUUGCAUAUUAUCUGAGCUUCUUGACUGACUCAAGUAAUUUUCUCUUCCUAAAUAUCUUAAAACUUACUGGCAAUAAUAAAUUUUAUAAUAUCACACCAAGACCAAUUUUCAUGCUUCUAGAUAUAUGAAGAUACCUUUGAGGUAUCAGUAUCAGUAAUGCUUUCCACAGCAUGUGCAUUCGUUAGGCUCCAGACUGUCAUUGGAAAAGCAACCCUAGAUAUCAGCACUGGACAUUGUCUAUCUACUUCUGUGACCAGACUUAUUCCAUUUAAAUGAGGGAGAGCAGCACCCUGGGGUUUUUUUAUCAUGAGGAAUGUCAUGUUCAUGAGGUAUGCUGCAUAGAGGAAACAAGCUAGUUCUUAACUUCUAAAUCAGCUUGCACUUAACCUAACAGACCUUAAACCUGAGGCCCUUACUUGGCCACAGAUUGACUUUAGGGUAGAUACUGAUUCAACACAACUUGUGCUUAGCUACUUUAUACAAACUGGACGGCAUUUGUUUAAGAGCUGCUUACCUUUAUUCUGUCUGAAGAUUGCUCCUAGUGCAUUUUUGGCUGCUUUCCUGAAUUCUCUGCUAAGUACUACUGCUACUGGCAACAUCCAGUCCUUAGUCUCCUGAAGCACCAGUGUGCUUUAGAAGUUGUUAAACAACUGUAGAAACAGGUAGAAAUAAAUUAGCAGACAGAUGUUUCCUUAUGGCUAAGCAAAGUGGAAUGUGCUAAGGAAUACCAAGAAGGGAUUGUUUGCUAGUUAUAGUUCCUUAGCUGCAACAAAUGAUAUAAUUAAGACAGUUAGUAUCCUUCUCUAUUUAUUUAUCAGAUACAUUGUAUAACACACUAGCAAUAAUUUUGCUAACCACCUGUUUUU
ensembl:lncRNA